CGCGGUGUAGCUCAGCCAGGUAGAGCAGCGGGUUCAUACCCCGCCUGUCGUCGGAUCGAAGCCGACCACCGCAACCA
rnacentral:tRNA from 1 species